CAGUCGCCACGGGAAUACGUAGGUGGCAAGCGUUGUCCGGAAUUAUUGGGCGUAAAGGGCUCGCAGGCGGUUUCUUAAGUCUGAUGUGAAAGCCCCCGGCUCAACCGGGGAGGGUCAUUGGAAACUGGGAAACUUGAGUGCAGAAGAGGAGAGUGGAAUUCCACGUGUAGCGGUGAAAUGCGUAGAGAUGUGGAGGAACACCAGUGGCUAAGGCGACUCUCUGGUCUGUAACUGACGCUGAGGAGCGAAAGCGUGGGGAGCGAACAGGAUUAGAUACCCGGGUAGUCCCUGUCUCUUAUAA
rnacentral:rRNA from 1 species